rnacentral:rRNA from 1 species
AGAACGAACGCUGGCGGCAUGCCUAACACAUGCAAGUCGAACGCGUGUAGCGAUACACGAGUGGCGGACGGGUGAGUAACGCGUGGGAACCUGCCCUGGAGUGUGGGAUAACCGAGGGAAACUUCGGCUAAUACCGCAUACGACCUGAGGGUGAAAGAUUUAUCGCUCUAGGAGGGGCCCGCGUCGGAUUAGCUAGUUGGUGGGGUAAAGGCCUACCAAGGCAGUGAUCCGUAGCUGGUCUGAGAGGAUGAUCAGCCACACUGGGACUGAGACACGGCCCAGACUCCUACGGGAGGCAGCAGUGGGAAUAUUGGACAAGUGGGGGCAACCCUGAUCCAGCAAUGCCGCGUGAGUGAUGAAGGCCUUAGGGUUGUAAGCUCUUUCGCGCGCGACGAUGAUGACGGUAGCGCGAGAAGAGCCCGGCUAACUCGCGCCAGCAGCCGC